ACCUGGCUGGCUCAGUCGGUUGAGCAUCUGACUUCGGUUCAGGUCAUGAUCUUGCGGUUCGUGAGUUCGGGUCCCGCGUCAGGUU
rnacentral:tRNA from 1 species